rnacentral:rRNA from 1 species
UAAGGAAUAUUGCGCAAUGGACGAAAGUCUGACGCAGCAACGCCGCGUGCAGGAUGAAGGCCCUUUGGGUCGUAAACUGCUGUAGCAGGGGACUAAUGGCCGCCUCGGGCGGACGGGAAGGUACCCUGAAAGUAAGCUCCGGCUAACUACGUGCCAGCAGCCGCGGUAAUACGUAGGGAGCAAGCGUUGUCCGGAUUCACUGGGUGUAAAGGGUGCGCAGGCGGAUUUGUUAGUCAGAGGUGAAAUCUCACGGCUUAACCGUGAAACUGCCUUUGAUACUGCAGAUCUUGAGUUUGGGAGAGGUUGAUGGAAUUCCAGGUGUAGCGGUGAAAUGCGUAGAUAUCUGGAAGAACACCAGUGGCGAAGGCGGUCAACUGGCCCAUAACUGACGCUCAGGCACGAAAGCGUGGGGAGCAAACAG